AUCUUUGUGGUGUAAUGGUCAGUACACUCGGCGCGUAUUCGAGAGAUCCGAGGUUCGAGUCCCGGCGAGGACA
rnacentral:tRNA from 1 species